rnacentral:rRNA from 1 species
UACGUAGGGGGCAAGCGUUGUCCGGAUUUAUUGGGCGUAAAGAGCGUGUAGGCGGUUAGGUAGGUCCGUUGUGAAAACUCGAGGCUCAACCUCGAGACGCCGAUGGAAACCAUCUGACUAGAGUCCGGAAGAGGAGAGUGGAAUUCCCGGUGUAGUGGUGAAAUGCGUAGAUAUCGGGAGGAACACCAGUGGCGAAGGCGACUACCUGGCCUGUUCUUGACGCUGAGGCGCGAAAGCUAGGGGAGCAAACGGG